GACAGGGGGGGCUAGUGUUAUUCGGAAUGACUAGGCGUAAAGGGCACGUAGGCGGUGAAUCCGGGUUGAAAGUGAAAGUCGCCAGCUCAACUGGCGGAAUGCUUUCAAAACCAAUUCACUUGAGUAAGAUAGAGGAUAGUGGAAUUUCGUGUGUAGAGAUAAAAUUCACAGAUAUACGAAGGAACACCAAAAGCGAAGGCAGCUUUCUGGGUCUCUACUGACGCUGAGGUGGCGAAAGCAUAGGGAGCAAACAGG
rnacentral:rRNA from 1 species